rnacentral:ribozyme from 12 species
GAAAAGAAAGAAAGAAAAAAAAAUGCAAAAAUCCUUCCGAUGCAACUCAAUUUACAUAUCUAUCUAUUUAUCUAUCUCUCUGUCUAUCUAAAUAUCAAUCUAUCUAUCUGUGUCU